rnacentral:rRNA from 1 species
UACCAGCACCCCGAGUGGUCGGGACGAUUAUUGGGCCUAAAGCAUCCGUAGCCGGUUCUACAAGUCUUCCGUUAAAUCCACCUGCUUAACAGAUGGGCUGCGGAGGAUACUAUAGAGCUAGGAGGCGGGAGAGGCAAGCGGUACUUAGUGGGUAGGGGUAAAAUCCGUUGAUCCAUUGAAGACCACCAGUGGCGAAGGCGGCUUGCCAGAACGCACUCGACGGUGAGGGAGUGAAAGCUGGGG